rnacentral:misc_RNA from 1 species
GAUGAAGAACGCAGCAAAAUGCGAUACUUGGUGUGAAUUGCAGAAUCCCGUGAACCAUCGAGUUUUUGAACGCAAGUUGCGCCCGAAGCCUUUUGGCCGAGGGCACGUCUGCCUGGGCGUCACGCAUCGCGUCGCCCCCCACAAUUCUCCGUAAAGGGAACAUGUGUUUUGGGGGCGGAUAUUGGUCUCCCGUGCUCAUGGCGUGGUUGGCCGAAAUAGGAGUCCUUUCGAUGGACGCACGAACUAGUGGUGGUCGUAAAAACCCUCGUCUUUUGUUUCGUGCUGUUGCUCGCAAGGUAAACUCUUUAAAAACCCCAAUGUGUCGUCUCUUGACGACGCUUCGACCGCGACCCCAGGUCAGGCGGGACUACCCGCUGAGUUUAAGCAUAUCAAUAAGGGAGGA